rnacentral:rRNA from 1 species
AGAGUUUGAUCAUGGCUCAGAUUGAACGCUGGCGGCAGGCUUAACACAUGCAAGUCGAGCGGGGAAAAGUAGCUUGCUACUUAACUUAGCGGCGGACGGGUGAGUAAUACUUAGGAAUCUGCCUAUUAGUGGGGGACAACAUCUCGAAAGGGAUGCUAAUACCGCAUACGUCCUACGGGAGAAAGCAGGGGAUCACUUGUGACCUUGCGCUAAUAGAUGAGCCUAAGUCAGAUUAGCUAGUUGGUGGGGUAAAGGCCUACCAAGGCGACGAUCUGUAACGGGUCUGAGAGGAUGAUCCGUCACACUGGGACUGAGACACGGCCCAGACUCCUACGGGAGGCAGCAGUGGGGAAUAUUGGACAAUGGGGGGAACCCUGAUCCAGCCAUGCCGCGUGUGUGAAGAAGGCCUUUUGGUUGUAAAGCACUUUAAGCGAGGAGGAGGCUCUUCUAGUUAAUACCUAGGAUGAGUGGACGUUACUCGCAGAAUAAGCACCGGCUAACUCUGUGCCAGCAGCCGCGGUAAUACAGAGGGUGCAAGCGUUAAUCGGAUUUACUGGGCGUAAAGGGUACGUAGGUGGUCUAUUAAGUCGGAUGUGAAAUCCCUGAGCUUAACUUAGGAAUUGCAUUCGAUACUGAGAGACUAGAGUAUGGGAGAGGAUGGUAGAAUUCCAGGUGUAGCGGUGAAAUGCGUAGAGAUCUGGAGGAAUACCGAUGGCGAAGGCAGCCAUCUGGCCUAA